GUCUACGGCCAUACCACCCUGAACGCGCCGGAUCUCGUCUGAUCUCGGAAGCUAAGCAGGGUCGGGCCUGGUUAGUACUUGGAUGGGAGAAACCAAGAGUUGGAGGCU
rnacentral:rRNA from 1 species